UGUGAAUACAAGAAUGCCUGACUCACCAAAUGAUUUCCUAGAAUAGUUAGCUGGGUGGAGACUCACCAAGUUAAUAACUAAACCCAACCCUCAAGUCCAUUGGCAAAGGACAUAUUUGAGCUUAAUGACUCUGUAUACACCCAGAAAGAUAAAGGAGGCUUUGAGAUCCUGCUUGGUAGACUGGGAAGAAGAAAAUGACUCAUUAGGUACCUGGAACACUGAAUGGCCUGCACUGGAAAUAUUUUGAAAGGACAGUGGAAAAGCUGCUGGAAAAAAAUGCGAAAACAAUUUUUUGACUUGAGUUCAUAUUUUUCAUUCAAUGUCUGCGGGGCCCUCAAUGUAACUUUUUUUUUUUUUUGAGAGGGGUCAUCCUCCAAUCAUUAACUACUUCUAAUCUUCACUGCUACACAGAGUUUCCAAUAUUUAGCAACAGAUGGCUUUGCUUUUACCUUAUAGAUGAGGCCAAAGCACCAGGAAUAACUAACCUCAAAUUUGUAACCGUUCUGCUUUUUGCCACCCAACAUACCCUGCAGUGGCUCUCAAACCUGUACCUGAGGAAAGUGGUCCACUCCCACCAGUGAGAAGACUCACAGGGCAGCAGGGAUUCUUAGCUAGAGGGCAUAGCCAUUGAAAGAGAUGAAAACGGAAUCUCCUGGAGUGUGUGUGAUUUCAAAAAGCUCCCCAGAAAAUUAGUCUGGCAGCAGGAUGGAGGAUGGCUUGGAGAGAAGAGCAAAAAGAAGCAGGGAGGGUUGUUGGGAAGACGGAAACAGGUCUGAGACAAACAAAGAAGUCUUGACAGCACUUGAGCAACUGAAGAAAAGGGAGGAAGGCAUUAUUCACAGUAGCCAGGAUAUGAAAACAACCUAGGUGUCUGUCAGCAGAUGAAUGGAUAAAGAAACUGUGGUAUACGUUUAUACAAUAGAAUAUUAUUCAGCCUUAAAAAAGGAGGAG
rnacentral:lncRNA from 1 species